GACGAACCGUGCGAACGUUGUUCGGAAUCACUGGGCUUAAAGGGCGCGUAGGCGGGCUGCCAAGUCUGGGGUGAAAUCCCACGGCUCAACCGUGGAACUGCCUUGGAUACUGGCGGCCUCGAGGGAGGUAGGGGCAUGCGGAACUGUGGGUGGAGCGGUGAAAUGCGUUGAUAUCCACAGGAACUCCGGUGGCGAAGGCGGCGUGCUGGACCUCUUCUGACGCUGAGGCGCGAAAGCCAGGGGAGCAAACGGG
rnacentral:rRNA from 1 species